UCUGACCACAGCUUACUGAAUUUCAUGGU
rnacentral:piRNA from 1 species